GGAGGAGGAGAGGAAGAAGGAGAAAAAGGAAAAAGGAGGAAGAAGAAGGACAAGUAUUUUGUUCUGUCCAUUGCCAUGAUCAAAUAUUCUCUUCAUCUGAUCAGCUCAUAUCUGAGGAAAUAAAUCAAGAUCAUAGUUCUCCCGGAUUCAGUGCAAAGCAAAUUCCAAUGGAAGAAGAGAGAACAUGGACUCUGUAGGGCUCCUCCUCCCUUGGAUCAUAAACACCCUGAGCGAAGGUGCUCCGUUACUAAGCUUCUAUCUCUGGAAUUUGCUAGAACACCUGGAACACAGGAGAUCCGCAGUCAAUAUGCACAGACGGAAACUGAGAAGCUAUUGACAAACGUGCUCCAGCAAAACUACGGAGUAAAGCACAAGAGGUGACAGAGAAUAGAAGAAAACAGAGCCCAGGACAGCCUGAGGAAGAUGGCCAUGCACCAGACCAAGAGAAAACCAGUCCACGGGGGCAGGGCAGGAAAAUAAACAGAAUGGAUAUGUGAUCUGACCUGUAUGAGCAUUUGAAAAAGAAUUAUUCCUAGAAAUCUGAUACAUCUAGUGCUGUUUUUUGGGGGAAAAAAUUUAGAUAGGUAUAUGAAAAUGAAGCAAAUGGCAAAAAAAGAGAAGCUCUUAGUAACUCAAGAAACCUGAUCACAGAAUAUUCCAUGGCUAGAAAAUGGAAGAAUAUUGACAUGAUCACAAUUUUAUAAAAACUGAUGGAUUUAAUCAAUAAUGGCUGAAAUUGAUAUAUGAAGUAGCAGUAUAUAGGCAUAUUAUUUGAAAUACUAGAAUAUGUAUUUAUAUAUAUAUUAGAAUUAGAGUAUAUUAUAAUAUUCCAAAUAUAAUGUGCCUAUACUGCUAUUAGUAUAUAUAUUUUAAUAAAAAUUACUAAAUCAAUUAAAAAUAUAUUCUAAUAUUCUAGGGGGAUAGUAGAGAAGGCACUGGGCAAAGGAAUGCUUUAAUAAGCACAUAAUAGUUAUUAGAAUAUAUUUGUGUAUGGUGAAAGAGAGUGGUCUAGUUUCAUUCUUCUGCAUGUGGAUGUCCAAUUUUCCCAGCACCAUUUAUUGA